rnacentral:lncRNA from 1 species
CAAGUUACUCAAAUUGAAACUCGGGAAUUUCUAGCUGUUCGGAAUUCGCGGAAACAAAUUUUCGGCAUUACGGUAUUGAAUCAAUAGAGAUACCAAUUAUUUCUUUUAACAAAUUCGAAUACCAGUCAGUUUAUAGGACUUCAGUUUGAAAUAGGGGCGGCAAUCCAUUCGUUUUAUCCAAUCAAUUAAAAAGGGGAGGGGGUCAACAUUGAUAGUCAAAAAGCCUUGAAAUAUUCAAUAAAAAACGUUGAAUGUAAAUUAUAUGAACUUAAAAAUCUCAUAUUAUAAGACUAGUAAACCACAGGCUUCUCAGUUCUUGUAUGAUAAUGAACUAGGUGAAAACCUAGAGCUGACCGAGUGCGAGAUCCUCAUGGAUAAUCAUCGAGGUCGUUAAACACCCCUUGCAGUAAACUUUGGUUAAAUUUUAAAAAAAAAUCGAAAUGUAAUAGUCUGAACACAUUUCACCGCUCAUUCCACUAAAUAUUAAAUUGCAGUUACAAGAUUAAAAAAGAUUACAAUUAAAAAAAAUCAAAUCCCGAC